rnacentral:lncRNA from 1 species
CCGAAGUUUCCCUCAGGAGGCUGUGAGAUGCCCAAGGGCGGGAAUGGAGUCCAUUACCCCAGAUUUGGAGCUGAAAAGGACACUUCAGCGUGUCCAGCGGAGGAAUUCUUAACCUGGGGCUUGGGCACUCAGGAAGCAAAAGUCAUGCAACAGAAAGCAAAACAAAAACAUCGAAAUCCAAUUUGCCUUGAUUUAUUCAUAGCGAG